UGCAGGAUGUGCAGGUUUUGUUACAUAGGGAAAUGUAUGCCAUGGUGGCUUGCUGCACCGGUCAACCCAUCACCCAGGACACCUCUUAAAAGACAAACGAUGAUGGGCCAAGGCCCAUGCCACUGGUAUCAGUUGUGUGUGUGUCACAUUUUUCACAAAUCUCCAUAGAAAGGAAGGAAGAGAGAAAGCCUGCAGGGAAUUUGUAAGAAAAUAUUUUGAGUGAAACAAAGGGUAAAUAAACUGACAAUCUACUGUCUUUUCCUAAGGAGGAAGAAAUUUCAACAUUUGUGGAUUCCUCUCAGGGAAUAUGUUGCACUCAUUAAGUAUGAAAAAAAUGUCUUAUUGCAAGGAAAAGGAAAAAGUAAAUUCUGAUCAUAUAAGCGUCUAGGAAGCAUGGGUGAUGCUGCUGACCUACAGUGCAAUCUCGUUUUAAUGAAAAAAAGUCUGAAAAAAACUCUGGCAGCCUACACAGCCCAAAUCAAGGCUUUCAUAAGCAGAUAUUUCCACCUUU
rnacentral:lncRNA from 10 species